GAUGAACGCUAGCUACAGGCUUAACACAUGCAAGUCGAGGGACCGGCGCACGGGUGAGUAACACGUAUCCAACCUGCCCUUUACUCGGGGAAAGCCUUUCGCAAUAAAGAUUAAUACCCGAUAUAAAGGAUGGGGAUGCGUUCCAUUAGGUUGUUGGUGAGGUAACGGCUCACCAAGCCUUCGAUGGAUAGGGGUUCGGAGAGGAAGGUCCCCGACAUUGGAACCACGACACGGGCCAAACUGCUACGCGAGGCAGGGGUGAGGAGUAUUGGUCAAUGGGCGCUAGCGUGAACCAGCCAAGUAGCGUGAAGGAUGAAGGCUUAUGAGUCUUAAACUUCUGUGAUAUAAGGAUAUGUAUUAUAUGAAUAAGGAUCGGCUAACUCCGUGCCAGCAGCCGCGGUAAUUC
rnacentral:rRNA from 1 species